ensembl:miRNA aca-mir-155 aca-mir-155
CACACGUUGUUAAUGCUAAUCGUGAUAGGGGUUUUUAUCUCUGACUGACUCCUACAUGUUAGCAUUAAGAAUGUGUAGUG